AUUGAACGCUGGCGGCAUGCCUUACACAUGCAAGUCGAACGGCAGCACGGGAGCAAUCCUGGUGGCGAGUGGCGAACGGGUGAGUAAAGUAUCGGAACGUGCCCAGUCGUGGGGGAUAACGUAGCGAAAGUUACGCUAAUACCGCAUACGAUCUAUGGAUGAAAGCGGGGGAUCGCAAGACCUCGCGCGAUUGGAGCGGCCGAUAUCAGAUUAGGUAGUUGGUGGGGUAAAGGCUCACCAAGCCGACGAUCUGUAGCUGGUCUGAGAGGACGAUCAGCCACACUGGGACUGAGACACGGCCCAGAUUCUUACGGGAGGCAGCAGUGGGGAAUUUUGGACAAUGGGCGAAAGCCUGAUCCAGCCAUGCCGCGUGCAGGAUGAAGGCCUUCGGGUUGUAAACUGCCUUUGUACGGAACGAAAAGGUUUGGCCUAAUAAGCUGAGCUCAUGACGGUACCGUAAGAAUAAGCACCGGCUAACUACGUGCCAGCAGCCGCCGUAA
rnacentral:rRNA from 1 species